AUUGAACGCUGGCGGCAUGCCUUACACAUGCAAGUCGAACGGCAGCGGACCUUCGGGUGCCGGCGAGUGGCGAACGGGUGAGUAAUAUAUCGGAACGUACCUUUCAGUGGGGGAUAACGUAGCGAAAGUUACGCUAAUACCGCAUAUUCUGUGAGCAGGAAAGCAGGGGAUCGCAAGACCUUGCGCUGAUUGAGCGGCCGAUAUCAGAUUAGCUAGUUGGUGAGGUAAAGGCUCACCAAGGCGACGAUCUGUAGCGGGUCUGAGAGGAUGAUCCGCCACACUGGAACUGAGACACGGUCCAGACUCCUACGGGAGGCAGCAGUGGGGAAUUUUGGACAAUGGGCGCAAGCCUGAUCCAGCCAUGCCGCGUGAGUGAAGAAGGCCU
rnacentral:rRNA from 1 species